rnacentral:rRNA from 1 species
GACGAACGCUGGCGGCGUGCUUAACACAUGCAAGUCGAACGGAAAGGCCCUGCUUUUGUGGGGUGCUCGAGUGGCGAACGGGUGAGUAACACGUGAGUAACCUGCCCUUGACUUUGGGAUAACUUCAGGAAACUGGGGCUAAUACCGGAUAGGAGCUCCUGCUGCAUGGUGGGGGUUGGAAAGUUUCGGCGGUUGGGGAUGGACUCGCGGCUUAUCAGCUUGUUGGUGGGGUAGUGGCUUACCAAGGCUUUGACGGGUAGCCGGCCUGAGAGGGUGACCGGGCACAAUGGGACUGAGAGACGGCCCAGACUGCAACGGGAGGCAGCAGUGGGGAAUAUUGCACAAUGGGCGGAAGCCUGAUGAAGCAACGCCGCGUGCGGGAUGACGGCCUUCGGGUUGUAAACCGAUUUAGACUGAGACGAAGCGGGAGUGACGGUAAUGGGUAAAGAAGCACCGGCUAACUACGUG